GGACUUGCGANUGGGCGAAAGCCUGACGCAGCGACGCCGCGUGGGGGACGAAGCCCUUCGGGGUGUAAACCCCUUUCGACCCGGACGAAGUCCGCAAGGAUUGACGGUACGGGAUGAAGAAGCCCCGGCUAACUACGUGCCAGCAGCCGCGGUAAGACGUAGGGGGCCAGCGUUGCUCGGAAUUACCGGGCGUAAAGGGUCCGUAGGCGGUGUGGCAAGUCGGAAGUGAAAUCUCUGGGCUUAACUCAGAGGCUGCUCCCGAAACUGCCAUGCUAGAGUGCGAGAGAGGCGAGUGGAAUUGCGGGUGUAGCGGUGAAAUGCGUAGAUAUCCGCAGGAACAUCCGAGGCGAAAGCGGCUCGCUGGAUCGCAACUGACGCUGAGGGACGAAAGCUAGGGGAGCAAACAGGAUUAGAUACCCCGGUAGUCCUAGCCCUAAACCAUCAGGACUUGGGGUUUGCCCUGUACGGGGCAAGUCCCGUAGCUAACGCGUUAAGUCCUGCGCCUGGGGAGUACGGUCGCAAGGCUGAAACUCAAAGAAAUUGACGGA
rnacentral:rRNA from 1 species